rnacentral:rRNA from 1 species
AACGAACGCUGGCGGCAUGCCUAACACAUGCAAGUCGAACGAAGGCUUCGGCCUUAGUGGCGCACGGGUGCGUAACACGUGGGAAUCUGCCCUUUGCUUCGGAAUAACAGUUAGAAAUGACUGCUAAUACCGGAUAAUGUCGCAAGACCAAAGAUUUAUCGGCAAAGGAUGAGCCCGCGUAAGAUUAGGUAGUUGGUGGGGUAAUGGCCUACCAAGCCGACGAUCUUUAGCUGGUCUGAGAGGAUGAUCAGCCACACUGGGACUGAGACACGGCCCAGACUCCUACGGGAGGCAGCAGUGGGGAAUAUUGGACAAUGGGCGAAAGCCUGAUCCAGCAAUGCCGCGUGAGUGAUGAAGGCCUUAGGGUUGUAAAGCUCUUUUACCCGGGAUGAUAAUGACAGUACCGGGAGAAUAAGCUCCGGCUAACUCCGUGCCAGCAGCCGCGGUAAAAC